CUAUCAACAUAAAAGGGGAUAUAUCUUAGCAAAGGAGCAUGACCCACCAGGAUCCACGCGAUCAAAGAAUGCUUUCUCCAAUAAGACUUAGAGUGGAGAAGUGACACAGCCGAUUUAUGUUGAAAAGGAACACUCUGAUUACCACGUUGUAUGAGGGCCAGGAUGGAAGCAGGGGCCAGUUGGGUGCCAUCUCAGUGAGACAUCAAGAGGUGAUGGUGGCUGACACCAGGGUGCCAGCAACAGGGUAUCAACAGAUAGCUGGUGUCAACCCAGAAACUGCCUGACUUCCUGAUGCACGCAGUUGCCUGAAAUUCACGGACCAUCAAAUUCACCCAGGUCACAUUUCAGUUGCACAUCAAAAGUGUUACUGACCUUUCUGAGUCCGUCCUCGAUGAAGGUUCUCCUGACUGGUCCCAUAUGAGCCUAUUGAAUGAGACCAAGAUUUGUUCAGAACAAAGGAAAGCUGUGUUUUUCAGUGAAAGAAUGGACAGGGGCAAGCUCGCCCCCUGGAGUACCCUUUCUCCCUGGCAGGCUGUGGGCCAGGCUGCUUUAUGGAGUUCAAGUGUUGGGCGGGGCGAUGGGGCGGAGCUCCGGCAGCGCAGGGGCAGUUUGCCAGCAGUGUCUGCACACAGCCCGCUGCCGCCACGGCCAUCUUGAAUUGCAGUGUUGAGCGCAGAGCUUCUGCAUACGGUCCCAAGCUAAGAAGCAGGCACAGCUCUUUGGCGUUGGGGACUCUUGUCUGAAGUACCUGGUGGAAGGCCUCUUCACGCAGUAUCCUGUGGUCAAGUGAAACUACAGGAAGCACGAAAAAAAAAAAAAGGUUCUGCCAAUGGGCCCCUCAGAGUAGCAGAACCUUGUAUCUCUGACUCUCCAGUGCCUGCAUCACCCUGCACAGCGAGCCUUCGACUGUUUCUAUAAAGUAGGACGGUGUCUCCGGUAACUACAUGUCUUGGGCAGGCCUGAGAUUCCCAGAGUUAAUCAACCCUCUGAGGACCCCAGCCUGGCCGCUCCCCAGGCCUGGGUGGAGAAGCCUGGCUCUGGGCCUGAGUUCCCUGCAAGGUACUGGAGCUGGUGUUUAUAAACCUGUCCCUUCAGUACUUGGAAGACAUCCCAUACUUGUCUGGGAGAAUCCUGGACACCUCAUCUCUCAGAGGACAUCUGCAAAGCAACUUCCACUUUACUGAAGAUUCUUUAAGCAGUUUACUCAUCCUGGAUAUUUAGAGGCAUUUAAAGAGUGAAGGAGGAGAAAGAUAUAAGCCUCCAGACACUGAUGAGACACUUUCCAUACCUUGACAGCUAUAGAUUAGAAUAAAGCGUGGCUCUGGUCAUUGUCCCAUCCUCCUGCUCAGGGUCUUUACUGCUAUGGUUAGCCUACAGAUAAAGGUGCUAUGGGGCAAAUAGUUGUGGAGCAUUGUUUAAAGGAGUAUUAAGAUGUCCCCUUUUUGAGGGAGCAGGUGGGCCCAGAC
ensembl:lncRNA